ACGGAGGAUCCAAGCGUUAUCCGGAUUUACUGGGUUUAAAGGGUGCGUAGGCGGACUGAUAAGUCUGUGGUGAAAGCCUAGGGCUUAACUGUAGAAGUGCCAUUGAAACUGCAAGUCUGGAGUAUGGUUGAGGAAGCUGGAAUUCGUCAUGUAGCGGUGAAAUGCGUAGAGAUGACACAGAACACCAACGGCGAAGGCAGCUUACUGACCCGUUACUGACGCUGAGACACGAAAGCGUGGGGAUCAAACAG
rnacentral:rRNA from 1 species